UUCUUUCUUUACUCCUUUAGCAGUCGUUCUCUCUCUUUUUGCUUUGGCCGAAUACUCCUUCUUCCCCCUCUCUCAAUUCUUUCAGCUUUUAGCAAUUCUCUUUCUUCUCAUCUUGGUUGUUGUGGCUAAAUACUCUCUCUUCUUGUAGUCGAACCCUGCCCUUUUCUCCAUCCAUCUCUUUUUCCUCUUCAUUACCGAAACUACUCCUUCUCUUGGGGGCCGG
rnacentral:lncRNA from 1 species